CCCUGCAUUCGAAAGUGAUCGUGGGCUGCCUGUGCCCUGGUCAUUGAUAGUGCAGGGAGAGCAAGUGCUGAAAGAUGUUUUCCCCGUGUUUGGAGGGUCCCAUCCGUCCCUUCCAAACCCUGAAGCUUUCCCACA
ensembl:snoRNA SNORA71 Small nucleolar RNA SNORA71